GUGCUUGCUUCAGCAGCACACAUACUAAAAUAGGAACGAUACAGAGAAGAUUAGUAUGGCCCCUGCACAAGGAUGACACACAAAUUUGUGAAGUGUUCCAUAUUAAA